UACGAAGGGGGCUAGCGUUGCUCGGAAUCACUGGGCGUAAAGCGCACGUAGGCGGCUUACUAAGUCAGGGGUGAAAUCCUGGAGCUCAACUCCAGAACUGCCUUUGAUACUGGUGAGCUUGAGUCCGGAAGAGGUGAGUGGAACUGCGAGUGUAGAGGUGAAAUUCGUAGAUAUUCGCAAGAACACCAGUGGCGAAGGCGGACUCACUGGUCCGGUACUGACGCUGAGGUGCGAAAGCGUGGGGAGC
rnacentral:rRNA from 1 species